GUGUCCACGUUGGCAGCACAUAGGCAAAAAUUGAAAACCACAAAAAGAUUAACAUUACCAUGGCCCCUGAGCAAGCAUAACACAAAUUUGCAGUGUUCAAUAUUUUU
rnacentral:snRNA from 1 species